ACAAUCAGAACGUUGUAUUCACUAUAACUAGCGACUAGGAUGAAUGAGAUAACCAUUCAGUACUAAGAGGAAUCAAGUCUUGGUUCGGGGGAGUAUGUCGCAAGCUGAAACUAAGAAUUGACGAAAGGCGCGGCGAGGAGUGGAGCUGCGCUCAUUUGACUCAACACGGGGAACUAACAGAUACAGAGAUAGUAAGGAUGACAGAUGAAAGCUCUUCUGCUCUCCCCCUGUGCUGACCGUCUAGUUGGUGGAGUGAUUGUCUGGUUAAUUCCGAUAACGAACGAGACCUUAACUGCUAACUAGUCUUUCUAUUCCGAUAGACAUUGACUUCUUAGAGGGACUAUGUGCUCUAAACAGUAGAGAAAAAUGAGGCAAUAACAGGUCUGUGAUGCCCUUAUAUGCCCUGGGCUGCACGCGUGCUACACUGAUGCAUACAACAAGUCCCAAGCCAGUCAUGGCAUGGUAAUCUCUAAUAUGCAUCGUGAUGGGGAUUGAUCUUUGCAAUUAUAGAUCAUGAACGAGGAAUUCCUAGUAAGUGCAAGUCAUCAUCUUGCAUUGAUUAUGUCCCUGCCCUUUGUACACACCGCCUGUCGCUCCUACCGAUACCGGGUGAUCCGGUGAACCUGUGGACCCAAGGGAAAAACAAGUCUUUCUUAUCCUUAAGGAAGGAGAAGUCGAACAAGUAUUCCGAUCCCCGGAGAGGACCU
rnacentral:rRNA from 1 species